rnacentral:rRNA from 1 species
UGGGGAAUCUUGCACAUGGGGGCAAGCCUGAUGGAGCCACGCCGCGUGUGUGAUAAAGGCCUUCGAUUGUAAACUCCUGUUCUGCGUGAACGAAGGGGGUUGGGUUAUUACCUGGCUUUCUUGUGGUUACUCAAAAAGAAAACACCGCUUAAUCUGUGGCCACCACCCCCGUAAUACCGAAGUCUGCAGCCUUUUUCCGAAUCUCUGGGCCUUAAGGGUGCCUAAGUGGCUUGGAAAAUCUGAAGGUAAAACCCCGGGCUUCACCUCGGAAUUUGCUUUCAUACUUGCAUGGCCAAAUAAUGAAAAAGGGAGUAAAAAUUCCGGUGGAACCGUUAAAUGGCUAAAAAUUUUGAAGAAUACCCACUGCCAAAGGCGGUCCCUGGGCACUUACUGGACCCUAAGGUCCAAAGCCAUGGGAACCAAACGGAAUAAAAACCCCGGGUAUCCCGGCCCUAAACCGAGGUCAAUUGGUGUGGGCGGAUCCUGCCGCGUCCGCACCGGAGCUAACGCGUUAAAUAUACCGCCUGGGAAGUACGGUCGCAAGAUUA